GGCGGCGGUCUCCACGUGCCGGCCGGGCUGUUGUUGGGUCGCCAUUCACAGACGCUAUCCCGCUACCGCACCACGCGGGGACUUUUGCCUGCUGGAUUUCUCCCCUGGGCCGGUUCGCCCCUCCUUAGACGACCUGGACAGUCCGCCUUCCGACAGGCCAUCCAUAUCGGCGCCGUGCUUAGCGUGGACGCCCGAUCAACAUGCACAACCCAGCACCAGGACUCCCGGCCCCACGAGAUUCCGACACCAAGCCUCCAAGUAGCUGGAUUACAGACGGACGCUCCCACAAGCGGC
rnacentral:SRP_RNA from 1 species